rnacentral:misc_RNA from 1 species
GAUAAAAACGACAUGAAUAUAUCAUAUACACCACAAGCAAACUGAAUUCACUUUAGAAACAGUAUUCUGUUGUUUUAAGUAGUAAAAAAACAGUGUCAUUGCUUUAAGUAGAAAUAGCAAAGUAGGAAAGAGCACCUUGGUAAGAAAAAAGAUAAAAGAAAAGAUAAAAGAGAAGAGGAUAAAAGAGAAGAAGAAGAUGAGGUGAGAGAAUGAGUACCAGCAAAAGUAUUAACGUAUAUGGAAGUAUUUCACUUUCUUGUGACUUUUAUCUACUUAACUUUGGAAGCCAAAAAGGAGAGCCAAAACAAAAUCCUUCACAUACACACCUUUAAGACAUAAGUAUAGGGAUGGCUCCCAUACGGAGACCACUGGAUAUCUGGCUCUCUCCUGUUUUUUUGACUAUGCCGCCUAAAACCUUCCCCUUUAAAUUGUCUUCUCAUCACCUUCCAUUUCCAUAACCCCCUCUGCACCUCUCCUCUUAAGAACCCUAGAACAACAUACACAAGCAUCCUCCUCUCUCUCUCUCUCUCU